AACGAACGCUGGCGGCAGGCUUAACACAUGCAAGUCGAGCGCCCCGCAAGGGGAGCGGCAGACGGGUGAGUAACGCGUGGGAAUCUACCCAUCUCUACGGAAUAACGCAUGGAAACGUGUGCUAAUACCGUAUACGUCCUUCGGGAGAAAGAUUUAUCGGAGAUGGAUGAGCCCGCGUUGGAUUAGCUAGUUGGUGGGGUAAAGGCCUACCAAGGCGACGAUCCAUAGCUGGUCUGAGAGGAUGAUCAGCCACACUGGGACUGAGACACGGCCCAGACUCCUACGGGAGGCAGCAGGGGGGAAUAUUGGACAAUGGGCGCAAGCCUGAUCCAGCCAUGCCGCGUGAGUGAUGAAGACCCUAGGGUUGUAAAGCUCUUUCACCGGUGAAGAUAAUGACGGUAACCGGAGAAGAAGCCCCGGCUAACUUCGUGCCAGCAGCCGCCGUAAAAC
rnacentral:rRNA from 1 species